AGAAGUAUUAUGUACAUUUAAUUUCCAAUUAAAAAGUCUA
rnacentral:tRNA from 1 species